GCGGCCCCGGGGCCCCGCACGGCCCCAGGCAGGUGCGCCGCGACAGGGCAGCCGGCGGGCUUGCGCCCUCAGCCCGCUCCCGUCCCUGCUUCAUCGUGGCGGCAGGGCGCAGCGGCCCGGUUUCUGCCCCCGGCUCCUUGCUUCGGGCUGAGCUCCCGUGAGGCGGCGCAGGGUCCCCCAAGGCUAUCCUUGUGGAAGUUUCCUUCACUUGCGAUGGGAUCACCUCUGUUGUGGCUGAAGUCAAAGGGCACCUAACAUGAAUACAGUUAGGCAUACCCACAGUCUUUGAAGGUCUGCACACCUAAAGAAAGCAACAACCAAAUGCUCAUCAUGAGAUGCACCAUGGCAGAACCAGCAUGCAAAUAACUGUGCCUUUCUUCUGCAAAUGAAUGGGACAGAGUUAACAGAAAUACAGAAAGCUUUCACCAAAACUGUGCCACAACCUAUUUAUAUAGUUAUAAACAGCAGUGCUUGCUCAAUAACUUACAUCUGUGUAUAUUUGUGAAGUUAGCCCUUUGUUUAGAGGUAUAAGAACCUAUUCACUGUGUGGAAGAAUAUCUUUAAAAGUUGCCAGGUGAUAGAUUUAGUAAGCAUUUUGAAACAAAAUCUUUGCUCUGUGUACGUCUGCACAAUGGAUGAUGUCUCAGUCCUGCAUGCCACAAGAAGCACUGUGAAAUUCUGUGCCUUCUGCUCAGCUGAUUCUGGCUGCAGGAUGAAGGUACACCCUGGUGUGCAGCAAUUAAAGGCAAACACAAAAGCCUAAAUGCCACUUGUCAAAUUCCACAGAACCUCUGAAGCCUUAACCCUCCUCCACCCCCUUCCACCUCCCAGCCCCCCAAAUAAAUAAAUAAAUAAAUAAAUAAAAAUCUUGGGAAGGUCUGUAGCAAACCUAAACAAUAUAAUGCGCUCAUUAUUGUAAUUCAAAAGAGGGAUAUCAUGUCUGUGACUGGACAUUUAUGUGAGAUUUGACAUAAGUUGCUGUCUUCUGCAGUCAAUUGGUGUAACAAAUACCGGUUGCUAUAUCAGUCAUGCUGCAGAUGUCUCUUGGAAGGAAAGUUUGGUUUUUUCUUCACUAUGAACAAUCCUUCUCAGCAUCAGAAAUAACCUACACAUGUUUAAUUUACAGGAGACAUUUAGUUUGCAACUAACCGAUCAAUGCAACAUUUAGGAAUCAAUUCUGAUUUUCCUUCCCUGCUUUCUUAUUAUUUUUUCUGUACAGUAGAAACCAGCUGUAUUUCUUCAAAAGAAGCCAAAAAAAUACGAAGGAUUUUGAGACUGAUCAAGAAAUAAUGCUGAACUAGGGCUUGAUGGUGAAGUCUCUAGACUUGCAGGAGCUAUCUCAAUGAACAUGGGAUUCUGGAGCAGCCUACAGAGGGGAGAUUCUUGCUUAUAAAGGAUGGCUGUCACCAAAGCAUAGUGUAGCUGUCAUAGGAGAAUCAAGGACAACAAAACAGGCACAGAUGGCACUGAGACUAACGUGACUGGAGUUGAACAAGCCGUAUUCCUUCUACUGUAACUUGAAACAUCACACUUCAGGUCACUGCAAAUUCUGAAGAGCUAAAAAAUCUGAAGUCAUCUCUUCCCUCCCAAACAAUGGCAAAACUGUGAGUCAGAAAAAGAAGAAGGAGAGAAUGGUGAUGAAAUCUUGAGGUUUGAUCAAGUGCUUUAAUCAUUUAACUUCCUCUGCCUCCUUCCCCAAUACCCUACAUGGAAUAAUUGAAAGCCUGAAAACUCCAUUCUAAAUAUACACUCAGAGAUGCAAUCCCUUUCCCUCCCUGUUUCAUAAACCCCCUUGGCAGUACCUGAUUGUGAUUGCAUAUUGUUAGUAGAUUUUCCCUGUAUUCCUUCCUGUUUGAUUACAUGAGAAGUUUUCUCCAAGUUUGCGGCAGCAAUCUGGUCCUCGCUUGAGAGAUGUUGCCUCUCAGCCAGCACUGAAGCUGAGGGUUCCCAAGCUAACUGCUAACUACUAUGAGCAUUGCAUCAUUUUCAAAAUUUGCUAAGGAGAGAAACUGAUCAACCAUUGCAUGGGUAGGUAAAGCCCAUAAGAAAUUGAGACAAUCACCCUGUGAAGGAAUAUGAUAGCUGCUUUGGUGUCCCACCUCAGUUGCUGGCAGAUCUUGCUAAAGAUGCUGCUGUCUUCCCAAUUUAGCUUCUCAGCACAGAGAUUUGAUUAGAUAUCCUUUUUCACUACAUUUGUAGUACAAAAUAUAUAAGCAUAUUGCCAUUUCCUUUCCUUUUUUACUGCUGUUUUUUUUCCUGUGUGUGCGUGUGACAUUUUCCUUCAUUGUCCUUUUUCUGUCAAAGCAAUUGAGUACUUAAAUUAUAUAAUUAACCUUUUCACUUUUUAUAUACUACAAACCCAUGCUGAAAUAAAAUGAUCUAAGCACAAUCUUUAUCUGCAGGAGAGAAGAAAAAAGCAACCAAAAUAGUUAAAAACUUAAUGCAGCCUCACACUUGCUUAAACUGCCAGUGAGAGAGGGCAGAGAAAAGAAAACAAUUCAGUUCCAUUCCUGUUAUCUUGUGGGCUUAGAUCUUUAAGUGAAAACAAUCCAAUUAAUUGUCACAGCAUGAAGAAAACUACUGGGUCUGAUAAAGACAAGGCAGAACACUAAAGAAAAAAUAUACGCUUAUGGUCUUACUAUAAGCCAACAAAAGAUCUCAUGGUUUCCAUGCACUUACAGAACCUUCUU